CGGCAGCACAGUCGUAGCAAUACGAUGGGUGGCGAGUGGCGGACGGGUGAGGAAUACAUCGGGACCUGCCCAGACGUGGGGGAUAACGUAGGGAAACUUACGCUAAUACCGCAUACGUCCUACGGGAGAAAGCGGGGGAUCAGCAAUGACCUCGCGCGGUUGGAUGGACCGAUGUUCGAUUAGCUAGUUGGUGAGGUAAUGGCUCACCAAGGCGACGAUCGAUAGCUGGUCUGAGAGGAUGAUCAGCCACACUGGGACUGAGACACGGCCCAGACUCCUACGGGAGGCAGCAGUGGGGAAUAUUGGACAAUGGGCGCAAGCCUGAUCCAGCAAUGCCGCGUGUGUGAAGAAGGCCUUCGGGUUGUAAAGCACUUUUAUCAGGAGCGAAAUACCAUCGGCUAAUACCCGGUGGGGCUGACGGUACCUGAGGAAUAAGCACCGGCUAACUUCGUGCCAGCAGCCGCGGUAAUACGAAGGGUGCAAGCGUUAAUCGGAAUUACUGGGCGUAAAGCGUGCGUAGGCGGUUUUUUAAGUCUGCUGUGAAAUCCCCGGGCUCAACCUGGGAAUGGCAGUGGAUACUGGAAAGCUAGAGUGUGAUAGAGGAUGGUGGAAUUCCCGGUGUAGCGGUGAAAUGCGUAGAGAUCGGGAGGAACAUCAGUGGCGAAGGCGGCCAUCUGGAUCAACACUGACGCUGAGGCACGAAAGCGUG
rnacentral:rRNA from 1 species